GUGGGGAAUUUUGGACAAUGGGCGCAAGCCUGAUCCAGCCAUGCCGCGUGCGGGAAGAAGGCCUUCGGGUUGUAAACCGCUUUUGUCAGGGAAGAAACGCUCUGGGUUAAUACCUCGGGGUAAUGACGGUACCUGAAGAAUAAGCACCGGCUAACUACGUGCCAGCAGCCGCGGUAAUACGUAGGGUGCAAGCGUUAAUCGGAAUUACUGGGCGUAAAGCGUGCGCAGGCGGUCUUGUAAGACAGAGGUGAAAUCCCCGGGCUUAACCUGGGAACUGCCUUUGUGACUGCAAGGCUUGAGUGCGGCAGAGGGGGAUGGAAUUCCGCGUGUAGCAGUGAAAUGCGUAGAUAUGCGGAGGAACACCGAUGGCGAAGGCAAUCCCCUGGGCCUGCACUGACGCUCAUGCACGAAAGCGUGGGGAGCAAACAGGAUUAGAAACCCCAGUAGUCC
rnacentral:rRNA from 1 species